ACGAGAACACACUGCACGAAGCCUCCACCCACUUCCGCCGGACCGUGGGCCGCGUCAUGGAGCAAAACUACCAAGAUGAGCGGGUCUUCAAUGAGCUCUACUGGAUGCUGCAGGAGGUCAAGGAUCACUUCGAGCAGCUCAUGCGGCGCUUCCAGAGCGAAGCAUUUUGCCCCAAUAACUGCGGUGAGUGUGUGGGGGGGGGCAGG
rnacentral:lncRNA from 1 species